rnacentral:rRNA from 1 species
CACACUGUAAACGAUGAAUGCUAGGUGUAGGGGGUAUCGACCCCUUCUGUGCCGGAGUAAACACAAUAAGCAUUCCGCCUGGGGAGUACGGUCGCAAGAUUAAAACUCAAAGGAAUUGACGGGGGCCCGCACAAGCAGCGGAGCAUGUGGUUUAAUUCGAAGCAACGCGAAGAACCUUACCAGGUCUUGACAUCCAGGUAAAGCUUGAGAGAUUAAGUGUGCCUUCGGGCGAUCUGAGACAGGUGG